UUUUCUAGCUGGGGAGACAGCAAGAAGUUUGGGGGAAGGGGGCUCAGGUUAGCAGCUGUUUAAAAAUGCGCUGGUGGCAGCUUUGGGGUCCCAGUGGCAGUUUAUAGUUUGAAGGGAAGGGAUGGCCUCCUUUCCCAUCCCACUCCAAGUCCCCCCUCCCCCCACCCUCCUGCUGAAUGCCAGAUGCAGCCCAUCCCGCCUGGGUGGGACCAGGAUGGAGCUAAGGCCAUGACCUUGACCUAAGAGCUCUACCAUUCCAUGUCCACUGCCAGUUACUUGGGAUGAAAGUGAAGAAAUACUUUCAGCUUUGGCAUUGCUGUGUGGCAUCUUCAGGAGGAAUCACUGGAAACAAGAGAAACUGUCACCUGUUGGGGGCACAUUGGGAAGACCUAGACCUUCCACAGAGAACCCACUUGUCUGAUGAUCCUUAAGAAGAGAGAAACAUCGGUCAGAGAAGCUGUCUGGCCUCGUCUGGAGUCUUUGUCCCAGGUCACGAGGUACUUCCAUUGGAUUCUGACUCCGUCACCCUUCAUUUUCAAAGAGGACCAAUGACAUCCCUGAUGAUUUCUUGAAUCGCGCAUGAACUGGAUUAAAAUGAGGCAGAGCUGCACAAAGUCAUCAGCCUCACUCUUUCAUCUGGAGUCAUUGAAGUCCAAUGGCAGGACAAAAAGGGGAAUGAGAAGAAGUGGAUGACCAGGACCAUGGGACUCAGAACUUGAACAGGAUGGAAACGACCACUUAAAGGUCCCAUCAAGUAAGGGGAAAGUGAAGACUCAAAGCUUAGACCCCAGAGUCUGUGAAGAUCUAAAAAGUAGACCUGGUCUCUCCUCAGUUGAUCCCCCUGACUCCCCAAGACCAGGUGCCAUAUGUGUUCCCUGUCACUUGACAAGGAAAAACUUUCUUACAGUGAUAACUCCUGACUCCCUGGAACCUUGGAAGAGUCCUCUCUGGCCUUCAGUCUCUUCUUCUAUCGAAAGAGAAGAUUGGACUAGUUGAUCUACUACUUAUUCUAGUGUUCUAUUUUUAUGAGGUUAUAAUCUAAGAAUUGCACCAUGUACAAAUGGCACAAAAUUGUACUAUUGUCAACUGUUGCAUGGCUCUUAAUGGUGUAGACAAAAAGUAUAGUGGGGUCAGAGAAGGUUCUCAUGAGCCCUGCCUAAUAAAAGUUUUUCCCAUGUCA